rnacentral:rRNA from 1 species
GGCGGACGGGUGAGUAACAUGUAUCCAACCUGCCUGGGAGAUCGGGAUAACGUUCGGAAACGAACGCUAAGACCGGAUAGAUGCUUCUCUCGCAUGAGAGGAGCAAGAAACACGGGUUAAACCGUGGCUUGCAGAUGGGCCUGCGGCGCAUUAGCUAGUUGGUGGGGUAACGGCCUACCAAGGCGACGAUGCGUAGCCGACCUGNGAGGGUGAACGGCCACACUGGGACUGAGACACGG